CAGCACCUGCAGCUCCUGGGAUGAGGAGUGGCUUCUGUGUCUUGCUCAAAGAUGCUCUCUACAUCUUUGGUCAAGCAGAAUGCUACAAAAAUUAUCUUGCUUAAGGUGGUACAAGGUUGGAAAACCAGAUGACCCCCACCUCCUGCACCAUGCGUUGCUCUUGUAUAAAACCUGCUAGUAACUCUCCAUGGAUGAAGAGUUCUGGAGCAUGCCAACUUCUGAGAGGGGGAAGGUAACUCCAUAUACUAUCUAGCUCCCCCAAGGAUCUCAUGGUUCUCAACAAGCAUUGCAAUAUUGCAAAGCUGAACAUGAAAUGUUACAUAUUUCAAGGGACCAAUUCUGCCUUCAUGUGCCCUGUGUAACCCUCUGGGUCAAUGGGUUGCAGAAGGUGUAAAUGGCUGCUGACAGCUGGAACAUCCAAAGUACCAUCUUAAUAUUAGAAACAAGCAACUGCAGAAGCACUGUCAGCAAUGAUGGCUAGAUUCAUUCAGAUCUUCACUGUAUAACAAUAACUGCCUCAGCUGCAUCCUUUUGCUUUACACGAGUGAGCUCAAUAUGGCAGUUUAAAAAUAAUGCCAUUAGGGACGGCAGGGCUUGUUUCCGAAGAGCCUGCGUGUCAGAAAAGCAGCAGUCACUUACAGCAGAGAAAGCCUGUCUGCCCAAGCAUUCCUCUGACCUUGAGAAAAUCUGUUUGCUCAGUGGGGGAGCCCAUCAACUGUGCUAAGCAGCAGAGUGAAGUCAUCUUUUUUGCAUGUUUCAUUCUUUAUUUUAACAUUAUCUUGUACUUCUGAUUGAUCAAGCAAAAGUGACAGUCCCCUCCAAUCUGCCAUAUUGACUUUCGUAAUUCGCUGGUUAACUGUUUGCAUACGUGAAUUAUCAGCAUGGAGGGUCAUGUGUGCCUUUGAUUGCUUCACCUUGUUUGGCAACCAGACUUUUUUGUUUUAUGCCAAAGAACAGCUCCCAGCUGAGAGCAUCUGCAGGGUGUUCACAAUCAGCCGAUGCCAUAAUCAUCUAGGCUGGUAUCCACCGACGCAGGAGAUGAUGAUUAUUUACCUGUGUUGCAGUGGCACCCAACAGCCUCCCUAGCCUGGGAGCACAUUGUGCUGAAUGCCGUACGAACACGUCACCAGAGCUUACAGCCUAACGCAGAGGAGAUGGAACGAAUGUAUGUUGCAUGGGGUAGGGGGAAGAUGGAAGCCAAGGUGAUGGUGAGGAGGUCCUAUGGUUUCUUAGGCCAACAACCUGCCUGAUUUGAUGGCUCUGAUAGUUCUCUGUCCUUUUAACCCUCUGCCAAUUUACAAUUACACAAAAUGACCGCUUUCCCAGAGAGACUAAACUAAACAUUUGCUCAUGACUCCUGUCCUGCAGCCUUCUGCCAGUGCAUCUCAUGGCAGCCAUGGAGCAGAGAGCCACAGCGAUAGGUGACCAUAUUUCCCAAAGAAAAAACAGGACACCUCCAGCCCUCGCCUGAGGCCCCCACCAUGAGACUGUUGCCUGUGGCUAGAACCCUGUGGGGGGCCCCCUCUGGAGGCUGCUGGGCCCCUCGCUGGAACCCUGCUGGGGGGGCCCUCAGGAGGCUGCCGAGCCCCUAACUAGAACCCUGCGGGGUGGUGGGAGGGGCUCAGGAGGCUGUCAGCCCCUUGCUGGAACCCUGCCGCUGGGGCGGGG